rnacentral:rRNA from 1 species
CGGCCACCGCUAUAGGAAUUCGAUUAAGACAUGCGAGUCGAGAGGCAUAAUGGCCUCGGCGGACUGCUCAGUAACACGUGGAGAACGUGCCCUAAAGCCACUAAUACAAUCGGGAAACUGAUAAUAAUGAGUGAUAGGUCAGGAGAUCUGGAAUGACUCCUGGCUCAAAGUUCCGGCGCUUUAGGAUCGCUCUGCGGCCUAUCAGGUAGUAGUGGGUGUAACGUACCCCCUAGCCGACGACGGGUAUGGGCCUUGAGAGAGGGAGCCCAGAGUUGGAUUCUGAGACACGAAUCCAGGCCCUACGGGGCGCAGCAGUCGCGAAAACUUCACACUGGGGGCAACCCCGAUGAGGGAAUUCCUAGUGCUAGGACAUUUGUUCUAGCUUUUCUCAUGCGUAGAUAACAUGAGGAAUAAGGGCUGGGUAAGACGGGUGCCAGCCGCCGCGGUAAUACCUGCAGCCCAAGUGGUGGUCGAUUUUAUUGAGUCUAAAACGUUCGUAGCCGGUCCGGUAAAUCCUUGGGUAAAUCGGGGUGCUUAACAUUCCGACUUCCGAGGACACUGCCGGACUUGGGACCGGGAGAGGCUAGAGGUACUUCUGGGGUAGGGGUAAAAUCCUGUAAUCCUGGAAGGACCACCGGUGGCGAAGGCGUCUAGCUAGAACGGAUCCGACGGUGAGGGACGAAGCCCUGGGUCGCAAACGGGAUUAGAUACCCCGGUAGUCCAGGGUGUAAACGCUGCAGACUUGGUGUUGGAGGCCCUUCGGGGGCAUUCAGUGCCGGAGAGAAGUUGUUAAGUCUGCUACUUGGGGAGUACGUCCGCAAGGAUGAAACUUAAAG